rnacentral:rRNA from 1 species
CACCGCGGUUAUACGAGAGGCUCAAGUUAACAGACAACGGCGUAAAGCGUGGUUAGGGAAAUCUUUAAACUAAAGCCGAACACCCUCAGAGCUGUUAAACGCUUACGAGCUAAGAAGCCCCAUUACGAAAGUAGCUUUAUUUUACCUGACCCCACGAAAGCUGAGGAA